rnacentral:rRNA from 1 species
AUGAUCCCCAAGAGUGCUGUUGCUUCCUGUCCCUCGGACUACAGGCCUAUAAGUCUCAUGCACAUCAUUGCCAAAAUUCUUGGAAAACUGUUAGCUACUCACUUAGCGUCUGAACUCCACCACCUUGUGUCCUCCUCACAAAGUGCCUUUAUUAAGACAAGAUCGGUUCAAGACAAUUUUCUGUUUGUCCGUAACACUGUCAAAGAUGCGCACAUGAAGAAGAAGCCUCUAUUAUUCUUGAAGCUUGAUUUUGCAAAGGCCUUCGACUCCGUUCAUUGGGACUAUCUCCUUGAGGCCCUGAGAGCUUUUGGUUUCAGUCAAUGA